UCGGACUCGAUGCUGGUGGAACUCAAGGCAUGCUUCAUGGAGGCCUACGAUGAUAACCAGGACGGAAAAAUUGACAUUAGAGAGUUAGCUCAACUUCUGCCUAUGGAAGAGAAUUUUCUUCUCUUAUUUAGAUUCGACAAUCCUUUGGAAUCUAGCGUCGAAUUUAUGAAGAUUUGGAGAGAAUAUGACACCGACGGCAGCGGGUACAUCGAGGCCGACGAAUUGAAG
rnacentral:lncRNA from 1 species